UACGAAGGGGGCUAGCGUUGCUCGGAAUUACUGGGCGUAAAGGGCGCGUAGGCGGAUCGUUAAGUCAGAGGUGAAAUCCCAGGGCUCAACCCUGGAACUGCCUUUGAUACUGGCGAUCUUGAGUAUGAGUGAGGUAUGUGGAACUCCGAGUGUAGAGGUGAAAUUCGUAGAUAUUCGGAAGAACACCAGUGGCGAAGGCGACAUACUGGCUCAUUACUGACGCUGAGGCGCGAAAGCGUGGGGAGCAAACAGG
rnacentral:rRNA from 1 species